GGGGAUUUAGCUCAGUGGUAGAGCGCUUGCCUACGCAAGGCCCUGGGUUCGGUUCCCAGCUCUG
rnacentral:tRNA from 1 species